AGGGUUCGAUUCUGGCUCAGGAUGAACGCUGGCGGCGUGCUUAACACAUGCAAGUCGAACGAAGCAGCUUCUGCUUGCAAGAAAGCUGACUUAGUGGCGGACGGGUGAGUAACGCGUGGGUAACCUGCCUCAUACAGGGGGAUAACAGUUGGAAACGACUGCUAAGACCGCAUAACCCGCUAGUGUCGCAUGACACGGACGGAAAAUAUUUAAUUUAACGAGUUAAAAUUUGGUAUGAGAUGGGCCCGCGUCUGAUUAGCUAGUUGGUAAGGUAACGGCUUACCAAGGCGACGAUCAGUAGCCGACUUGAGAGAGUGAUCGGCCACAUUGGGACUGAGACACGGCCCAAACUCCUACGGGAGGCAGCAGUGGGGAAUAUUGGACAAUGGGGGAAACCCUGAUCCAGCGAACGCCGCGUGAGUGAAGAAGUAUUUCGGUAUGUAAAGCUCUAUCAGCAGGGAAGAUAAUGACAGUACCUGACUAAGAAGCCCCGGCUAACUACGUGCCAGCAGCCGC
rnacentral:rRNA from 1 species